rnacentral:rRNA from 1 species
UACGUAGGGGGCAAGCGUUGUCCGGAAUUAUUGGGCGUAAAGAGCGCGUAGGCGGUCCGAUAAGUCGGCUGUGAAAGUCAAGGGCUCAACCCUUGAAAGCCGGCCGAUACUGUCGGACUAGAGUCCGGAAGAGGCAAGUGGAAUUCCCGGUGUAGUGGUGAAAUGCGUAGAUACCGGGAGGAACACCAGUGGCGAAGGCGACUUCCUGGCCUGUUCUUGACGCUGAGGCGCGAAAGCUAGGGGAGCAAACGGG